rnacentral:rRNA from 1 species
UUGCAUAUCCCUCUUAGCGGAGGAAAAGAAACCAACAGGGAUUGCCUCAGUAACGGCGAGUGAAGCGGCAAAAGCUCAAAUUUGAAACCCUCGGGAUUGUAAUUUGAAGAUUUGGCAUUGGAGAAAGCUAACCCAAGUUGCUUGGAAUAGUACGUCAUAGAGGGUGACAACCCCGUCUGGCUAACCGUUCUCCAUGUAUUGCCUUAUCAAAGAGUCGAGUUGUUUGGGAAUGCAGCUCAAAGUGGGUGGUAAACUCCAUCUAAAGCUAAAUACUGGUGAGAGACCGAUAGCGAACAAGUACUGUGAAGGAAAGGUGAAAAGAACUUUGAAAAGAGAGUGAAAUAGUAUGUGAAAUUGUUGAUAGGGAAGGAAAUGAGUGGAGAGUGGCCGAGGUUUCAGCCGCCCCUCGUGGGCGGUGUACUGCCGACGCCGAGUCAUCGAUAGCGAGACGAGGGUUACAAAUGGGAGCGCCUUCGGGCGUUCUCCCCUAACCCUCCACACUGCCACUCGACGACAUCUCGG